rnacentral:rRNA from 1 species
CCUACGGGGGGCAGCAGUGGGGAAUAUUGCACAAUGGGGGAAACCCUGAUGCAGCGACGCCGCGUGAGUGAAGAAGUAUUUCGGUACGUAAAGCUCUAUCAGCAGGGAAGAAAAUGACGGUACCUGACUAAGAAGCCCCGGCUAACUACGUGCCAGCAGCCGCGGUAAUACGUAGGGGGCAAGCGUUAUCCGGAUUUACUGGGUGUAAAGGGAGCGUAGACGGCAGCGCAAGUCUGGAGUGAAAUCCCAUGGCUUAACCAUGGAACUGCUUUGGAAACUGUGCAGCGAGAGUGCAGGAGAGGUAAGCGGAAUUCCUAGUGUAGCGGUGAAAUGCGUAGAUAUUAGGAGGAACACCAGUGGCGAAGGCGGCUUACUGGACUGUAACUGACGUUGAGGCUCGAAAGCGUGGGGAGCAAACAGGAUUAGAUACCCGGGUAGUC